UACGGGGGGGGCAAGCGUUGUUCGGAAUUACUGGGCGUAAAGGGUUAGUAGGUGGCCAACUAAGUCAGACGUGAAAUCCCUCAGCUUAACUGGGGAACUGCGUCUGAGACUGAUUGGCUCGAGGACAGGAGAGGAACGCGGAAUUCCAGGUGUAGCGGUGAAAUGCGCAGAUAUCGGGAAGAACACCCGUGGCGAAGGCGGCUCUCUGGGACGGUACUGACGCUGAGACGCGAAAGCGUGGGGAGCGAACAGG
rnacentral:rRNA from 1 species